AGUUUUUUGUUUGAUAUGUACGUGUAAAUUUCCCAGGCAGCACGUAUGCCGCUUUAACAAGGGUAACCAAGGAAAAUGGUUUUUAAUGUACCUCACAAGCAACCUUUUAACCACUGCCGGUACUUAGAAAAAACGGCAACUUUUUAAUAACAUCACAACGUCCAUUUAUUUUUUUCGGUCUGUCACUGCACACGUUCUAUGUGGAACACCCAGCAAUUUCACAGCUCAGCAUCAGCAGUGCAAAUGGAUGUUGGGGAAAAAAGAGGUUCGAGAUGGGUGGCAGAGAGCGGAAGCGAGAAAAUUGCAUCAUAGUGUCGCAUAUAAAAAUAAACGCAACCGGUUACAAGA